AGCGAACGCUGGCGGCAGGCUUAACACAUGCAAGUCGAGCGGGCGUAGCAAUACGUCAGCGGCAGACGGGUGAGUAACGCGUGGGAACGCACCUUUUGGUUCGGAACAACCCAGGGAAACUUGGGCUAAUACCGGAUAAGCCCUUACGGGGAAAGAUUUAUCGCCGAAAGAUCGGCCCGCGUCUGAUUAGCUAGUUGGUGAGGUAACGGCUCACCAAGGCGACGAUCAGUAGCUGGUCUGAGAGGAUGAUCAGCCACAUUGGGACUGAGACACGGCCCAAACUCCUACGGGAGGCAGCAGUGGGGAAUAUUGGGCAAUGGUCGCAAGACUGACCCAGCCAUGCCGCGUGAAGGAAGAAGGCUUUCUGAGUUGUAAACUUCUUUUAUCUGGGAAUAAAAUACCCUUGCGAGGGGAACUGAAGGUACCAGAUGAAUAAG
rnacentral:rRNA from 1 species